rnacentral:rRNA from 1 species
UACGUAGGGUGCGAGCGUUAUUCGGAAUUACUGGGCGUAAAGGGCGCGUAGGCGGUCUCGUAAGUCCCUUGUGAAAUCCCCCGGCUCAACUGGGGAACUGCAAGGGAUACAGCGGGGCUUGAGUUCGGGAGAGGGAAGCGGAAUUCCGGGUGUAGCGGUGAAAUGCGUAGAUAUCUGGAGGAAUACCAGUGGCGAAGGCGGCAGCCUGGACCGGCAUUGACGCUGAGGAGCGAAAGCCAGGGGAGCAAACGGG